rnacentral:rRNA from 1 species
CCUACGGGUGGCAGCAGUGGGGAAUAUUGGGCAAUGGGCGCAAGCCUGACCCAGCAACGCCGCGUGAAGGAAGAAGGCAUUCGGGUUGUAAACUUCCUUUCUCAGGGACGAAGCAAGUGACGGUACCUGAGGAAUAAGCCACGGCUAACUACGUGCCAGCAGCCGCGGCAAUACGUAGGCCGCAAGCGUUAUCCGGAUUUACUGGGUGUAAAGGGCGUGUAGGCGGGAAAGCAAGUCAGAUGUGAAAACCAUGGGCUCAACCUGUGGCCUGCAUUUGAAACUGUUUUUCUUGAGUACUGGAGAGGCAGACGGAAUUCGUGGUGUAGCGGUGAAAUGCGUAGAUAUUAGGAGGAACCCCGGUGGCGAAGGCAGUCUGCUGGACACCAACUGACGCUGAGGCGCGAAAGCGUGGGGAGCGAACAGGAUUAGAUACCCUUGUAGUC